rnacentral:rRNA from 1 species
CACGGGGGGAGCAAGCGUUGUUCGGAAUCACUGGGCGUAAAGGGCGUGUAGGCGGUCAAGUAAGUGGAAUGUGAAAGCCCCCGGCUUACCCGGGGAUCUGCAUCCCAAACUGCUUGGCUUGAGUACGGGAGAGGAUAGGGGAAUUCCUGGUGUAGCGGUGAAAUGCGUAGAUAUCAGGAGGAACACCGGUGGUGUAGACGGCUUUCUGGACAAUCACUGACGCUGAGGUACGAAAGCGUGGGUAGCAAACAGG